UCACCAGCAACCUCGUUUGGAUCACACGAAACACAAUACAACUUGGAGGUUCAUCUGUCCUGCAGAAGACACACCAAACUUCUGCAUGAAGAUCCAGACCUCGACAACACAUUUACCACUAUGUCACAGACUAAGGUCAGAAAUACCUAUUCUUGCAGCAGCAAAAGGUGAAGUCAAUUCAUACCAGUACAAGUAUCCAACACACCAUUUAGGUUUUGCACAACCAUGAAACUAUUAAGAUGGUAUCUUAAAACGAAGAAAGACAUCUUCCUUCAUUACUGAACGGUGCAACAAGAGCGAGAGAUAAAGAGAUAGUUCUUCCUCUCUCUCUCUCUCUCUCACACACACACACACAAUUAGCACACACGGUAUAGUUAUCGGAGGCAAGUCAAUUGUCUACUGUUUCAUGUACUAAAACAUAGCAAGUGUGAUGUACCUAUUAAUAUACUAUGAAUAUUGUGUAAUGUACUUUGUGCUUCUAUCGUGUUAAUACAAAAACCUAUGUUGGAGGGCAUCAUGGAAAACGUCAAAAAGGUUACAAUUCAUGUGUCCACUCCAGAGGUGGAUCUCUCUGUAUUAUCCUCUCACCAUGCACUUCCAGUUGGGUACUACCUCUAGAAUUAACUGUAUUUCUCGAAGCUAUGUUGUACCAAACCUGUGCAAUGAUGAAAAGUAGGUCAAGCAAUUAAUCAAGUAAUCUGCAAUUGCUUGGAAAUAAAGAGAACCUGCAUGCACUUGGCUUUA